rnacentral:tRNA from 1 species
AAAAUUUUAUUUUAUUUAAAAUAUAAUAUUUACAAUAUUAAGUUAUAUUAAUAAUAUAAAUUUUA